rnacentral:rRNA from 1 species
GAGUUUGAUCUUGGCUCAGAUUGAACGCUGGCGGCAUGCCUUACACAUGCAAGUCGAACGGCAGCAUGAUCUAGCUCGCUAGAUUGAUGGCGAGUGGCGAACGGGUGAGUAAUACAUCGGAACGUGCCCUGUAGUGGGGGAUAACUAGUCGAAAGAUUAGCUAAUACCGCAUACGACCUGAGGGUGAAAGUGGGGGACCGCAAGGCCUCAUGCUAUAGGAGCGGCCGAUGUCUGGUUAGCUAGUUGGUGGGGUAAAGGCCCGACCAAGGCGACGAUCAGUAGCUGGUCUGAGAGGACGAUCAGCCACACUGGGACUGAGACACGGCCCAGACUCCUACGGGAGGCAGCAGUGGGGAAUUUUGGACAAUGGGCGAAAGCCUGAUCCAGCAAUGCCGCGUGUGUGAAGAAGGCCUCGG